rnacentral:rRNA from 1 species
UACGAGUGGUGCAAACGUUAUUCGGAAUCACUGGGCUUAAAGGGUGCGUAGGCGGCCGCAAAAGUCAGGUGUGAAAUCCCUCGGCUCAACCGAGGAACUGCGCUUGAAACUACGUGGCUUGAGGGAGACAGAGGUGAGCGGAACUGAUGGUGGAGCGGUGAAAUGCGUUGAUAUCAUCAGGAACACCGGUGGCGAAAGCGGCUCACUGGGUCUUUUCUGACGCUGAGGCACGAAAGCCAGGGGAGCAAACGGGAUUAGAAACCCCCGUAGUCC